rnacentral:rRNA from 1 species
CUGUGCAAUGACAGCACGAAUACACCAGUUCCCAAAAGAUCACUGGAGUUAAGCUAUGUUGGACGUGGUCAAUAUCCGGAUGGGUGGCCAACUGUGCAAUCACGUGUUACACUGG